rnacentral:rRNA from 1 species
AUUGAACGCUGGCGGCAUGCUUUACACAUGCAAGUCGAACGGCAGCACGGGGGGGUAACCCUCUGGUGGCGAGUGGCGAACGGGUGAGUAAUGCAUCGGAACGUACCGUGUAGAGGGGGAUAACUAUCCGAAAGGAUGGCUAAUACCGCAUGAGCCCUGAGGGGGAAAGCUGGGGACCGGAGACGGCCUGGCGCUAUACGAUCGGCCGAUGUCCGAUUAGCUAGUUGGUGAGGUAAAGGCUCACCAAGGCGACGAUCGGUAGCGGGUCUGAGGGUGCGAUCAGCAACACUGGAACCGAGACACGGUCCAGAAUCCUACGGGAGGCAGCAGUGGGGAAUUUUGCGCAAUGGACGAGAGUCUGACGCAGCAACGCCGCGUGGGUGAUGAAGGUCUUCGGACUGUAAAACCCUGUCGUCAGGGACGAAGGUGCUCGUGUUAAUAGCGCGAGUGCUUGACGGUACCUGGAGAGGAAGCCCCGGCUAACUCUGUGCCAGCAGCCGCAGUAA